UACGAAGGGGGCUAGCGUUGUUCGGAAUCACUGGGCGUAAAGCGCACGCAGGCGGAUUGAUAAGUCAGGGGUGAAAUCCCGGAGCUCAACUUCGGAAUUGCCUUUGAUACUGUCUGUCUUCGAGUUCGGGAGAGGUUGGCGGAAUUCCUAGUGUAGAGGUGAAAUUCGUAGAUAUUAGGAAGAACACCAGUGGCGAAGGCGGCCAACUGGCCCGGAUACUGACGCUCAUGUGCGAAAGCGUGGGGAGCAAA
rnacentral:rRNA from 1 species